GACGAACGCUGGCGGCGUGCUUAACACAUGCAAGUCGAGCGGAAAGGCCCUGCUUUUGUGGGGUGCUCGAGUGGCGAACGGGUGAGUAACACGUGAGUAACCUGCCCUUGACUUUGGGAUAACUUCAGGAAACUGGGGCUAAUACCGGAUAGAAGCUCCUGCUGCAUGGUGGGGGUUGGAAAGUUUCGGCGGUUGGGGAUGGACUCGCGGCUUAUCAGCUUGUUGGUGGGGUAGUGGCUUACCAAGGCUUUGACGGGUAGCCGGCCUGAGAGGGUGACCGGCCACAUUGGGACUGAGAUACGGCCCAGACUCCUACGGGAGGCAGCAGUGGGGAAUAUUGCACAAUGGGCGGAAGCCUGAUGCAGCAACGCCGCGUGCGGGAUGACGGCCUUCGGGUUGUAAACCGCUUUCGCCUGUGACGAAGCGUGAGUGACGGUAAUGGGUAAAGAAGCACCGGCUAACUACGUG
rnacentral:rRNA from 1 species